CCUACGGGAGGCAGCAGUGGGGAAUAUUGGGCAAUGGGCGGAAGCCUGACCCAGCAACGCCGCGUGAGGGAAGAAGGUUUUCGGAUUGUAAACCUCUGUUCUUGGGGAAGAGGAAGAGACGGUACCCAAGGAGGAAGCCCCGGCUAACUACGUGCCAGCAGCCGCGGUAAUACGUAGGGGGCGAGCGUUGUCCGGAAUGAUUGGGCGUAAAGGGCGCGCAGGCGGCCUGUCAAGUCAGUAGUGGAAGUCCAUUUUUCAAGGAUGGAAGUGCUAUAGAAACUGAUGGGCUUGAGUGCAGGAGAGGUUAUCGGAAUUCCCGGUGUAGCGGUGAAAUGCGUAGAGAUCGGGAGGAACACCAGUGGCGAAGGCGGGUAACUGGACUGCAACUGACGCUGAGGCGCGAAAGUGUGGGGAGCAAACAGGAUUAGAUACCCUUGUAGUCGCCGC
rnacentral:rRNA from 1 species